GGAAUUUUCCGCAAUGGGCGAAAGCCUGACGGAGCAAUGCCGCGUGAGUGAAGAAGGCCUUCGGGUUGUAAAGCUCUUUUGUCAGGGAAGAAACGGUGAAGGCUAAUAUCCUUUGCUAAUGACGGUACCUGAAGAAUAAGCACCGGCUAACUACGUGCCAGCAGCCGCGGUAAUACGUAGGGUGCAAGCGUUAAUCGGAAUUACUGGGCGUAAAGCGUGCGCAGGCGGUUUUGUAAGUCUGAUGUGAAAUCCCCGGGCUCAACCUGGGAAUUGCAUUGGAGACUGCAAGGCUAGAAUCUGGCAGAGGGGGGUAGAAUUCCACGUGUAGCAGUGAAAUGCGUAGAUAUGUGGAGGAACACCGAUGGCGAAGGCAGCCCCCUGGGUCAAGAUUGACGCUCAUGCACGAAAGCGUGGGGAGCAAACAGGAUUAGAUACCCCAG
rnacentral:rRNA from 1 species